rnacentral:lncRNA from 1 species
UGCAAAGAACGGGCGCGAGUGACAGAGCGACCUUAACGGAUUAGCACCUUAACGGAUUAGCACCUUAACGGAUUAGCGUGGCAAGACCAAGAGCAGUGAUGACCUUUUAGCUGGAAUGGCCAGAGGGGUAACGGUGACUAAUGGUGUUAAAGGGAAGGAAAGCUCCUGCCCAUCUGCAGCACCUUCGGCAUCUGCCCCUGCCAUGACCACUGUGGAGAACAAAUCCAAGAUUAGCACAGGGCACCAACUGGACAGAGGCCUCCGGUCAGCCUCACUCUGACUGCAACCCCCUCUCACUGGACAGCAUCACCUGGACACAGAGCCUCACCUAGUCUGUGUCCCAUGGACACAACUUUGCUUUGGACAGUGACACCAAGAAUACUCACCCCUUUACUUAGCCAGACCACAGGCAGCCACCUGGACACAAACAUCUCUCCAGAGUCAGCCUCCACACAGACUCCACAGCAGAACUCCCAGGGAGGCACUGGGGCAUGGCUUCAGAGCACCAGGCAGCGCUCCGCGGUGCCUAGCACCCGCUCAGCCAGGGCAGCCUGCAGCGGAGCUUGGAGCCAGCAGCUUCUCAUCUCUUGGCCUCGGGAAAUGUAGCUGGAGUCAUCAUUUAGCAGAGCACGGUGUCCCUGGGUUGGCC